UGGUGCGGCAAGGCGGCCGCACGCCGGGCGUGAAAGUCCGGUGUGAGGAAAGUCCGAGCACGGAAGGACACGGUGGUGGGUAACGCCCACCCGUCCGCGGCGGUCGCGGGCGCGGGCCAGUGCCACAGAAAGCAAACCGCCGAUGGCGGUGGUAGGUCGAUUCUCCGAAUCGACGUCUGAAUCUGGGUAGGUCGAUUCUGCGAAUCGACCUCCGAUUCGACUCGACGCUUGCUCGGGUCGGUUCGGAGAACCGACCUGCCUCGACUCGGAGAUUCGACCUACCCCGCACAGGCAAGGGUGAAAGGGUGCGGUAAGAGCGCACCGCCCGGGUGGCGACAUCCGGGGCACGGUAAACCCCACCGCGUGCAAGGUCAUGCAGCUCCCGUCCGCCCUCGGCGGGACGGCCGGUCCGGCCGGAAGGGAGCGGGUGGACCGCUCGGGUAUGUGCGUCCCGGACCGCGUCGGCAACGGCGCGGCAAGAGAAAUGGCCGCCCUGUCCGGCAGGCGCAGCACUGCUGCUUGUCGUGGCUCGCCACGUCAGCAGCAUUGCCCCCGUCAAGGAGCGCUGCGAACCACCGGACGGACAGAACUCGGCUUACCAGCCGCACCGACCG
rnacentral:RNase_P_RNA from 1 species